rnacentral:rRNA from 1 species
AUUGAACGCUGGCGGCAUGCCUUACACAUGCAAGUCGAACGGUAACAGGCCGCAAGGUGCUGACGAGUGGCGAACGGGUGAGUAAUGCAUCGGAACGUGCCCAGUAGUGGGGGAUAGCCCGGCGAAAGCCGGAUUAAUACCGCAUACGACCUGAGGGUGAAAGGGGGGGAUCGCAAGACCUCUCGCUAUUGGAGCGGCCGAUGUCAGAUUAGCUAGUUGGUGGGGUAAAGGCCUACCAAGGCAACGAUCUGUAGUUGGUCUGAGAGGACGACCAGCCACACUGGGACUGAGACACGGCCCAGACUCCUACGGGAGGCAGCAGUGGGGAAUUUUGGACAAUGGGCGCAAGCCUGAUCCAGCAAUGCCGCGUGCAGGAGGAAGGCCUUCGGGUUGUAAACUGCUUUUGUCAGGGAAGAAAUCUUCUGGGUUAAUACCUCGGGAGGAUGACGGUACCUGAAGAAUAAGCACCGGCUAACUACGUGCCAGCCGCCGCAGUAACAC